CUAUAAAUGUGCAAGUCGUAUGUGACACACACGAGAGAAUUUUACACCAAACUGCAAACUGGCCCGGGUCUGUCCAUGACGCACGUAUUUUGCGUGAAAGUGCUCUGUUCACAGGGUUCGAGAGGGGUAUGGUCCCUGCAGGAUGCCACUUAUUGGGAGACAGUGCCUACCCCUCCAAGAAGUGGCUCCUGACACCCUAUGUACGACCUCAGCCGGGCCCACAGUCCGCCUAUAAUAGAGCACACAAAAGGACAAGGAGCACAGUGGAGAGGGGGAUUGGCCAGUGGAAGCGGAGAUUUCAUGUGCUCCAUGGUGAAAUCAGAGUCAGCCCUCCUGCAUAUGUGUGUAGAAUAAUACAGGUGUGUGCUAUUUUGCACAACAUCUGCAAAGACAGACGCCUCCCUGUACCCGAGGAAGGAGAGGACGAGG